AUGGGGACUGGGUUCUUUGGUUGUCGCCGCCGGACUCAGCGAAGGACGAAAAAUCGAGAUGAUCCAGUGGAGAAUAGAUGCCACGGGCUGAAGAAAGGAGGCGACGGUUUCAGAGCACACACCUUGAAGCGGAGAGGCGGCAGGGGAGUGGGUCUGGAUGGCAGAGGGAGCGAGACGAGGCAACAUCAGAUGGGAGGCAUGGUCAAAAGAGGCGCCGUAGGAGCAAUCGUGCGUGUGUGGGGGCCAUACCAGGGAGAAGGAAAUGGGUGGUCGGUUUUCCAGGGCUUUUUUUCCUUGCAUCGGGAAAUGGGUUCGGUUGAAAAAACGAUGAGGUGGGGAGGUCACGCGAAGGGUGGAGACGUGGGUACCAUAUAA
rnacentral:rRNA from 1 species